UACAGAGGGUGCAAGCGUUGUUCGGAUUUACUGGGCGUAAAGCGCGUGUAGGCGGUGACAUAAGUCGGAUGUGAAAUCCCUCGGCUCAACCCGAGGACGUGCACCCGAUACUGUGCCACUUGAGUACCGGAGGGGAUGGCGGAAUUCCUGGUGGUAGAGGUGAAAUUCGUAGAUAUCAGGAGGAACACCCUGUGGCGGAAGGCGGCCUCUGGACGGUAACUGGACGCUGAGA
rnacentral:rRNA from 1 species